CCAAAGAAGAACCGUGUUACCACUAGUCAUAGGGGCUUGGGGCCUAAUCAGUAUGCUAAUAUAUUUGGUGAUGUGCAUGUCAUGGAAUUAUAACCGAAAGUGAAAGGCCCCGCCAAACAUUUAUAGCGUAAUACGUUACAGCUCGACUUUGUCGAAGGAAGGUGUACGGCUUUAUCAAGGUAAAUGUAUGGGUAACUGAAUACUGUGAAUAUAUCAGUCAAUAAAAUACUCAGAUAGAUAGACAGAUAACUUUAUUUAACACGCUAACACCAACACUCAACAGCUAAAGCUGAUUUCCACGAAGGGCGUGUGAAGAAGAAGCAUACAGCAAAUAGAAAAAGAUUUUAAAAAAGCUACUUACAAAAUCUAAGAUAUAGUAUAAAAACAUUAUAUUAAGACCUACACUUUUUAAAAAAUGAUUUUGGACACGAAUUUGCGGAGAAUAUUAUUUAUAUGUUGAAAACCCCCAGAAUAUCAGUGACUUGAAUAAAACGGCCUAACUAAGGCUAUGUUUACACUUGCCGCCAUAAUCUGAUAGCUUUUUGUAGCGACGUAAAAAACACCGUAUGAAUGGUCUGUACUGUUUUGCGGGAUGUGACUAAAAUUGAAGUGGGAUUCGGGAGGUUAAGAGAAAUAUUGGUCGUGAAGCGGGAUUUUAUUCCAUCGCGAGAAGUGAAAAAAACGUUAGCGGGAUAAAUCAACAAUGUUGAUUGUGCAUGCAUGAAUGUGCUUAUUGUUUUCAAGGAUGACAUCGAACAUUUGUCCCCCAUCAACCCUCCAUUUAGAUGUAUGAUCGAGGCUUUCAUACUGAUAAAAGUCGCGAUUUAAAGUAAUUUAUUAUUUUAAACUUUGUUGUGUUGUAAUCUAGUGUAUUCAAAUUGUAUUCAGCUAUGUCGUCAACAAGUUCUUCGAAUACUCGGUUAUCCGUUGUCUACAUCUAAAUCAUAAUACGUUGAACAGUGUUAGAAAAAAAGUUGGGAGCGGGAAAUUGGGAUGAGUCAUGGCGGGAUAACGGGAUUUGAAGUAAAAAGCGGUCGGGAUAGCGGGAUUUCGGAACCCGGUACAGGCACCUCACCUAUCUGUUGUACCUUUUAGGAACGCAAUUUUCAGAGGAAUUAUUGCAACGGAGAGAUGUUGUUUCGCUCAGCUUCUGAAAGUUGUACAUGUCGUAUCGGAUAGGUGUUUUUUCGUGCUUUUGAACUUUUCGCGUUGCUAUGGAAAGCUAGCUAUCCCGUAGAAAUGUAAACGUAGAUUUCGAAUUAGAAUAUAUAUUAAAAAAAAAUCGCCAGUGAAAACGGACCUUUAGAUUAUAGUUAGACAUCAGGAUAGACACUAUGUACGUCGACAAAAUUACCGACCUAUGGUUUGACAUAUUAUCGCCCGGAAUAGUCAGUAAAAGUGAUUUCAUCAAGCUAACUUGAGACCAUAUUAUUCGGCUGGUAAUUUGGAUUUUCAUUAAAGGCCAUGUAAUUAAAGUCCGUAAAGUAAACAGACGCUUUUUUUUAACGAAUUUUUACUACUCUUCUGGUUCGCUAUGCUUGUAAAUGAAUACAGAGUACUAGAGAUUCAAUUCAAGAAAGUUCGGAGGGUGCGAAAGAUUAAUAACAUUCCAAUGGUCGGGUCCAGACCAUCUCGGGAAUGUAGGCCUGCGCAGAACGGACUUUACAUGGUCUUUAAGACAUCAUGUGAUUUAUGGACUUUUUCGAGUGACAAUAUUCAAAUCGAAAUCGAACAGUCGAAUCGUAUCAUUUAAACUUCAAGUGAAGUAUAAUACUGGGAUCGAAUACUUUAGAAAAGCGUAAAGAAUAUCUUUCUUUGAUAGAGUGUCAUAAAACAGUUUUUGGCCCUAACGGCAUAACAUUUAGUGACGUCCUAAAAUACAGACAUUGUAUAGGAACACUAGAUCUAAUUAUAAUUAUACUAUAUACACUAAACUACCUAAAAUUAAUCGUUAUAUAAGUAUUAAUUUUUCGUAAGAAUUAUCAGUUUAGGGAAUAGUUUGCCUGGCAGAGUUGUUGAAAUAACUACUUUAAACGAAUUCAUUAAAAGCCAACUCAAACGGUAUAUGAACUUACUUUAAAUGUGUAUUCUAUCUCUAAAUUUUUAAAUUAUGUUAACCUGAGAAGGAGUUCCUUAUAUAGGGUUAACCUCUGGCUGCUCCUGCAAGGCCUUUGUGUGUAAACAUCAUUGUACUUUGAAUAAAUUUAUUGACUCUGAUUGAAAAACACAAUACUAGUAUCAUAGUCGGUUUUGUUUCACGAUAUAAAAGGCGGGUGCGGAUUGGCGAACGAGGAGUGGCGGACGCGGACAGGAAAUUGUCAUAAUUAUCAUUAUGGAUAUUAAUAUAUAAUGAUUCUCUGGGUUGUAAAGGUACACGCAAGCGUAUAAAAGAUCAAAGUAUCUUCUCCACUUUCAAACGUAGACCCUUUGUCAUGGAGAAUUAGGCUGGUUUUUCAAGUAUUUCCUACAAAUUAAUUAACAAAAACCAAAGUUACAUAUCUGGUUUGAUAAAUCAUGGUACUGAAAGUUAUUUCACUGUUUUUGUUAUCCAGUGUUUUUAGUUCAUCAAAAUGAUCUUCUCUCAGAAACUGGUUUUCUUGGUUCUAACUCUUGGUCUCCUUGCCCACUCAGUCAGUGGAGGUCCAACGGUUGGAGCAGCAUGUGUUGUAUCUUGUCAUGCAGUGUGGGUCGCGUGUGUUGCCGGAUUGUCAUGGUUUUCGGGGGGACUUGCUUUUGUCCCAUCAGUAGCAACAUGUGGUGCAGCAUAUCUUGAAUGUGUGGAGCUGUGCGCUGUAGUUACAGUGCUGCCAAUCACACUUUGAAGUUACAAGAUAUCCUCGUUUUCACAACGGAAAAUAAUGCAUUAUCAUAAUAUGUAGAUCAGUAUGUAGAUCAGUGUGUCAUAAAAAGUAAAGAGCAAAAUGAAAAAUAGGAAUAGAGGUAAAAACUAACUUGGGUUGCACAAACACUUACUAAGAAAACUUAAAAUGGACUUAUGUAUGUAUUUGCUUUAAAGUAGGGUUGAGUCAAUAAUAAAUGUAUUGCACAC